AGGCUCCUCUGUCCUGGGAUUUUCCAGGCAAGAGUACUGGAGUGGGGUGCCAUUGCCUUCUCUGUCAGAAAGUUCUAGUAUGUCUAAAUCUUCUCUGCUCCCCAGCUACAGCCCAGAAGGAAGGGAGAAAAGAGAAAAGAAGGGAGAGAGAAAUUCUUAGAGAGGAGGGAUCAGAAGCUCCUGGGGCAUCAUUAAACACAAUGAUAAGGUAACCUUCAUGAUAAGGUUUUCUAUUGAUAUUUAUAAAACAUUUCUUUCCAUCUGAUCAUAUAUUGUUUUGUUUCUCUCUUUUUUUAAUUUUGACUGGACCAUGCUAUAUGCAUGUCUUAGUUCCCUGACCAAGUAUUGAACCCAUCCCCCCUGCAGUGGAAGCACAGAGUCCUCACCACUAAACCACCAGGGAAAUCCCUCCAUGACUAGGUUUUUAUGUGAGGAAUAGAAUUUUAGAGGGAACAUACCCCUUUUUGAGGCCCCAAGAAGCCUCAUAUGGCUCAGGCUAUCACUAAUGAGCUGUGUGACUUUUGGAAUGACCUUUAAACACUCUGAGCCUCAGUUUCCCUAUCUGGAAAAUGGGUAUAACCAGGCCUUCCCAGCACAACCUCCACCCCGUGCACCAGUAGCACCCAGCUGCCCGGGCCCCAACAAGCAGCUCUGUUUCUGUUUGGACCCAAAAGAGACAGCCACAUUCUCAGGAACAGUGACGUCUAGAAGCUUGCUGCAGUAUGAGUGUGGUCAGGAUCUCUGAGCCGACGUGAACCUCUAUGCACUAUUGGAUCUCAGUGCAGAUCACAGGAGGCGAGCAGAGGGGAAAGAGCCCUAGGUGAGGAGCACCCACUUCUACCCUCUCCUCUCCUCCCUACCUUUCUCCCUUUUUCUAAACCUACAUCAUCUCCUGGAUCCUCCCCCAUUGAGUAACAGUCCAGUUGCUUUGGUUUCUAUACAUUUUUAAGUUCUCCGGGUGCAGUGAUCUUCCUGGCCAGUGUGUAAAGCGACAAUGGCCACAGAGGUGGUGGAGAGAUGGCCUUCGUGGACACCCAGUCUCCUUACAGAAACCCAGUGACAGAGGAGGGGAGCAGCAACCUAAAAAGAACACGGAAGGGCAGACACAACUUCUUCUCCACGACCAUCUCUUGGGUGCUGCUUAGGACUGCAGUGGGUUUGCUGGGAACUUUCAGACCAGGUGCAGUGACAGUAACAUUGCCUUCCACUUCAACCCUCGGCUGGAAAACACCAGGUAUGUGGUCUGCAACAGGAAGCAGAAAAGAAGCUGGAGCCUGAGGAGUGGAAGAUGCAGAUGCCUUCCCGGAGGGGGAGCCAAUUUGAGCUCUGCUUCCAGAUACAGAGCUCAGAGUUCAAGCUCUGAAGACCGAUGCCCAGACCUACAGAGGAUUGAUGUGAAAACUAUAGACAGAGGUCAAAACUUCUAGAGGCAGGGGUCCCAGAGUCUCGGGUGUGCUCCCACCUGGCCAGGGACCACUACUGGUGUGUGCUCUCAUCUCGGCAAGUGAUAGUCAACGGGAAGAGCUUCACGCAAUAUGAACGCUGUGUGCCCUUUGGUCAAGUCACCACCAUCUGAGUCACGGAAUCUGUGCAGCUCUCCUCCAUCAGCUUCCAGGUACAGAAACACCCUCCAGGUGGAAGGAGUUAACUGUAUGCUCCCCACAAGGACAUAGAACCUGGAACCUUGAUGAUGUUGACUCCCAGUUACCUCACCACCAACCAAUCAGAAGACAUCCAUGAGCUGAUCACACACGCUGCAACCCUCUCCUUCACUGUCUUUAAAAACCUUUCCCUGAAAGCCAUCAGGGUUUCAUUUGGGUUUUUUAAGCACUAGCUGUCUGGACUCCUUGCUUGGUGCCUGUAAUAAAUCCUGUACUUUCCUUCACUGCCCA